rnacentral:rRNA from 1 species
CAGUAGCCGCGGUAAUACGUAGGGGGCAAGCGUUAUCCGGAUUUACUGGGUGUAAAGGGAGCGUAGACGGAAUGGCAAGUCUGAAGUGAAAUGCCCGAGCUCAACCCGGGAACUGCUUUGGAAACUGUCGAUCUGGAGUGUUGGAGAGGUAAGUGGAAUUCCUGGUGUAGCGGUGAAAUGCGUAGAGAUCAGGAAGAACACCGGAGGCGAAGGCGGCUUACUGGACAAAGACUGACGUUGAGGCUCGAAAGCGUGGGAAGCAAACAGGAUUAGAUACCCCGGUAGUCCCUGUCUCUUAUAC